AUUGAACGCUGGCGGCAGGCCUAGCACAUGCAAGUCGAGCGGAUGAAGGGAGCUUGCUCCUGGAUUCAGCGGCGGACGGGUGAGUAAUGCCUAGGAAUCUGCCUGGUAGUGGGGGAUAACGUCCGGAAACGGGCGCUAAUACCGCAUACGUCCUGAGGGAGAAAGUGGGGGAUCUUCGGACCUCACGCUAUCAGAUGAGCCUAGGUCGGAUUAGCUAGUUGGUGGGGUAAAGGCCUACCAAGGCGACGAUCCGUAACUGGUCUGAGAGGAUGAUCAGUCACCCUGGAACUGAGACACGGUCCAGACUCCUACGGGAGGCAGCAGUGGGGAAUAUUGGACAAUGGGCGAAAGCCUGAUCCAGCCAUGCCGCGUGUGUGAAGAAGGUCUUCGGAUUGUAAAGCACUUUAAGUUGGAAGGAAGGGCAGUAAGUUAAUACCUUGCUGUUUUGACGUUACCAACAGAAUAAGCACCGGCUAACUUCGUG
rnacentral:rRNA from 1 species